GGGGGCGUAGCUCAGAUGGUAGAGCGUUCGCUUAGCAUGCGAGAGGUACGGUGAUCGAUUCCGCCCCCU
rnacentral:tRNA from 1 species